AAAGCCGUCCGGAAAAUGGCCGCCGCCGCCGCCGCCGCGCCGAGCGGAGGAGGAGGAGGAGGCGAGGAGGAGAGACUGCUCCAUAAAAAUACAGACUCACCAGUUCCUGCUUUGAUGUGACAUGUGACUCCCCAGAAUACACCUUGCUUCUGUAGACCAGCUCCAACAGGAUUCCAUGGUAGCUGGGAUGUUAGGGCUCAGUGGUUUCUGACACCUCAUUGUGAAGCUGUUGUAGACAUCCAUAAGAAAUAGCCUGCAUAGGGAUUAUGUGAGGGCAAGGUUUGGCUGAAGGAGAAUAGAAGGUGUGGAAGGAAGCGAAGACCAGAAGAGCAUCACACUGCCUCAAGUCCCAAAUUUGAUUCUGCUCCUGAUCCUGUGACUCAAAUUGUCAUUCUCUUUUACUGCUGUGGGGUGUGCUCUGGGCCUAGCUGACAGGACAUUCUUUGUACUCCACGUAUUUAUGCUGGUGGGAGUUGUAUGGCUAGUGCUUUGUGCUUUGUCUCAGAAAUUGUGUGGACUAAAUGUAAUAUGGGCAGUGAAUGGGUUUCUUCUGGAAGAUGUUAGGCCUGGAGGGUGGUUU
rnacentral:sRNA from 1 species